rnacentral:rRNA from 1 species
UGUAGCUUGACAUUGGGUCUUGGUACUACAUGUACAGGAUAGGUGGGAGGCUUUGAAACCAGGACGCCAGUUUUGGCGGAGCCAUCCUUGGGAUACCACCCUUGUAGUACUGGGACUCUAACCAUAGGCCAUGAAUCUGGUCUUGGGACACUGUCAGGUGGGCAGUUUGACUGGGGCGGUCGCCUCCCAAAAGGUAACGGAGGCGCUCAAAGGUUCUCUCAGUACGGUCGGAAAUCGUACGUAGAGUGUAAAGGCAAAAGAGAGCUUGAUUGCAAGACAUACAGGUCGAGCAAGGAUGAAAAUCGGACUUAGUGAUCCGGUGGUUCUGCGUGGAAGGGCCAUCGCUCAACGGAUAAAAGCUACCCUGGGGAUAACAGGCUUAUCUCCCCAAAGAGUCCACAUCGACGGGGAGGUUUGGCACCUCGAUGUCGGCUCAUCACAUCCUGGGGCUGCAGUAGGUCCCAAGGGUUGGGCUGUUCGCCCAUUAAAGUGGUACGCGAGCUGGGUUCAGAACGUCGUGAGACAGUUCGGUCCCUAUCCGUCGCAGGCGUAGGAAAUUUGAGAAGACCUGUCCUUAGUA